rnacentral:rRNA from 1 species
UACGAAGGGGGCUAGCGUUGUUCGGAAUUACUGGGCGUAAAGCGCGUGUAGGCGGGCCGUUAAGUCGGGGGUGAAAGCCCAGAGCUCAACUCUGGAAUUGCCUUCGAUACUGGCGGCCUGGAGCAUGAUAGAGGCGAGUGGAAUUGCGAGUGUAGAGGUGAAAUUCGUAGAUAUUCGCAGGAACACCAGUGGCGAAGGCGGCUCGCUGGAUCAUUUCUGACGCUGAGACGCGAAAGCGUGGGGAGCAAACAGG